AGGUUAAGUUAUUAAGGGCGCACGGCGAAUGCCUUGGCACUAGGAGCCGAAGAAGGACGGCACUAACACCGAUAUGCUUCGGGGAGCUGUAAGUGAGCUUU
rnacentral:rRNA from 1 species